GCGCUUUUAUAGCAAUAACACCAUAUUUUCGGUAUGAAUAAAAUACGAUAAUUUCAACUGUCGAAGACAAUAAUGUUACAGAUAUCAGACAUAGAGUAACGCCUCCAAACCGUACGUAUAUAUUGUAUCAACACUUGGAUUGAUCCCCAAACCUCGUUUUGCCAGAAGCCAUUGAUGAAGUUUGAAUUGCUGUUUGCUCAUAUCGAUUUUAUCGCUCGUGUGUAAACAUAACCGAAAAGGAGUGCACUAACCUGUUCAAAUAGCAAUGAGUUAUUUGUUUAGUUGGCGCUGGGUGCCAGCCACACACGCGCAUGCAUAAUAUUAUGCAUGCCGUUAAAUAGGUAUAAAGAUGAUAUAGGUGUAUUAUACCGUGGUAUACGAAUAUUGUACUUUUUUUUCAUCCACGGGAAUGCGAUGGAAAGAACGCGAUUAUUGGUACACACAACGUAAUUAACGCGGCACUCGAUGAGUAGGAUCCAGGAGGUACUUACAUUUAUAAUAUUAUCACGCUAAUAAAUGUAUGCCACGCACGUAUGAAAAUAUAUGAUCGAUAAGACGCGACACAUUUUAUGUCACAUCCGACAACUCAAGACAAUAAGGAAACCACAUCAAGUAAUUCAUUAAUGCUGAAAUCAUGCGCACUCUCAAAAUACGGCCAAUUACAAAGGUUGCUCAACUAUACCAAGCACUUAAACUUCGCUGCAAGAGUUCAGUCAUCACCGAAAAAAAAAUUACAACACAGCCAUUGACAAAACUUCAACAAAAAUAUGUCCUUUCUUCCGCAUCAGAUAUCAUACGACUCAGCAACAAAAGCAUAGUGUAAACAUAAUGGCUCGGAUACACGGUGGCAGAACACAGCUGGAUGUAUUGAUUUUUUGACGGGUUGAAAAAAAAUCAAGUCCAUGACACGUACUGUGUAGUACUUGAGUUGUGCCUUAUGUUGAAAACUUCUAUGGGUAUUUUAUUGUUUUUGUAGCCAAGUAAGUGACCUGGGUACCCCCUUUUAAGCCUGUACAGCCAAUAAAGUGUAAACCAAUGUUUAUUUAAUUGUUUCAAUUUUAAUCCUUAAAUUUGUUAGCUAAUCUUAAUAAUAUGGUUGACUUCGAUCCAAAGUCCAAAGUUUCUGACAUCGUGUACGCUUUACAAACACACAAAUGUAUAUAUAACUAUAUUUACAUUAUUAGUUAUAUUAUCGUAACGAAGUUUAAACGUGAAUGUGAUGGAACAAGUCAUCAUCAUGAUGGUAGGCCAAAGAUGUCAUUUUUUAAAAACAUGUAGUCGAAAAACUGCUAAUAAAAAUAAUUUAAGUUUAAAUAA